GGACUACACGGGUUUCUAAUCCUGUUUGAUCCCCACGCUUUCGUGCCUCAGCGUCAAUAAUAGUGUAGCGAGCUGCCUUCGCAAUGGGUGUUCUAUGUCAUAUCUAAGCAUUUCACCGCUACAUGACAUAUUCCGCUCACCUCCACUACAUUCAAGACAGAUAGUAUCAACGGCAGUUUCCGAGUUAAGCUCGGAGAUUUCACCACUGACUUACCUGCCCACCUACGCACCCUUUAAACCCAGUGAAUCCGGAUAACGCUUGCACCCUCCGUAUUACCGCGGCUGCUGGCAC
rnacentral:rRNA from 1 species